UACGUAGGGUGCAAGCGUUAAUCGGAAUUACUGGGCGUAAAGCGUGCGCAGGCGGUUAUGUAAGUCAGAUGUGAAAUCCCCGGGCUCAACCUGGGACCUGCAUUUGAGACUGCAUAGCUGGAGUGCGGCAGAGGGGGAUGGAAUUCCGCGUGUAGCAGUGAAAUGCGUAGAUAUGCGGAGGAACACCGAUGGCGAAGGCAAUCCCCUGGACCUGUACUGACGCUCAUGCACGAAAGCGUGGGGAGCAAACAGG
rnacentral:rRNA from 1 species